rnacentral:rRNA from 1 species
UUAUCCGGAUUUAUUGGGCGUAAAGGGCUCGUAGGCGGCUCGUCGCGUCCGGUGUGAAAGUCCAUCGCUUAACGGUGGAUCUGCGCCGGGUACGGGCGGGCUGGAGUGCGGUAGGGGAGACUGGAAUUCCCGGUGUAACGGUGGAAUGUGUAGAUAUCGGGAAGAACACCGAUGGCGAAGGCAGGUCUCUGGGCCGUCACUGACGCUGAGGAACGAAAGCGUGGGGAACGAACAGGAUUAGAUACCCUGGUAGUCCACGCCGUAAACGGUGGACGCUGGAUGUGGGGCACGUUCCACGUGUUCCGUGUCGGAACUAACGCGUUAAGCGUCCCGCCUGGGGAAUACGGCCGCAAGGCUAAAACUCAAAGAAAUUGACGGGGGCCCGCACAAGCGGCGGAACAUGCGGAUUAAUUCGAUGCCACGCCAAGAACCUUACCUGGGCUUGACAUGUUCCCGACGACGCCAGAAAUGGCGUUUCCCUUCGGGGCGGGUUCACAGGUGGUGCAUGGUCGUCGUCAGCUCGUGUUGUGAAAUGUUGGGUUAAGU